rnacentral:rRNA from 1 species
UACCAGCACCCCGAGUGGUCGGGACGAUUAUUGGGCCUAAAGCAUCCGUAGCCGGUCCUACAAGUCUUCCGUUAAAUCCACCUGCUUAACAGAUGGGCUGCGGAAGAUACUAUAGGGCUAGGAGGCGGGAGAGGCAAGCGGUACUCAGUGGGUAGGGGUAAAAUCCUCUGAUCCAUUGAAGACCACCAGUGGCGAAGGCGGCUUGCCAGAACGAGAUUGACGGUGAGGUAUGAAAGCUGGGGGAGCAAACCGG